UGUGGUGCUAGUUUUUCUAAGCCAUCCAGUGCCAUCCUCGUCGCUGCAGCGACACACGCGCUCGCCGCCGCCAUGACUGAGCAGAUGACCCUUCGUGGCACCCUCAAGGGCCACAACGGCUGGGUAACCCAGAUCGCUACUACUCCGCAGUUCCCGGACAUGAUCCUCUCCGCCUCUCGAGAUAAGACCAUCAUCAUGUGGAAACUGACCAGGGAUGAGACCAACUAUGGAAUUCCACAGCGUGCUCUGCGGGGUCACUCCCACUUUGUUAGUGAUGUGGUUAUCUCCUCAGAUGGCCAGUUUGCCCUCUCAGGAUCCUGGGAUGGAACCCUGCGCCUCUGGGAUCUCACAACGGGCACCACCACGAGGCGAUUUGUGGGCCAUACCAAGGAUGUGCUGAGUGUGGCCUUCUCCUCUGACAACCGGCAGAUUGUCUCUGGAUCUCGAGAUAAAACCAUCAAGCUAUGGAAUACCCUGGGUGUGUGCAAAUACACUGUCCAGGCUGGAAUGCAGUAGUGCGAUCUCGGCUCACUGCAAGCUCUGCCUCCCGGGUUCAUGCCAUUCUCCUACCUCAGCCUCCCGAGUAGCUGGGACUACAGGCGCCUGCCAUCACGAUGAGAGCCACUCAGAGUGGGUGUCUUGUGUCCGCUUCUCACCCAACAGCAGCAACCCUAUCAUCGUCUCCUGCGGCUGGGACAAGCUGGUCAAGGUGAGCUUCAAGCCAAGGCAGGGGCUUUACCAGUCAGGGUGUGCUCCCAGGUGGUCAUACACUCCAAGUCCUGUGGAAAGCUUUACAGAUUCCCUCAGUUGACUCUUUCUCUUGUCACAUGGUCUGAUGUCCCUUGUAAGCACACUGCAUUGGAUAUGUG
rnacentral:sRNA from 1 species